GCCUGGGGUGAACCAUAAGAGGCCACGCUAAAGGAACCCCCAAUGAAUAGUUGCUUGGAGCAGGAUUUUAGUAAUUCUGGAUGGCUUCAAGGUUUCAGAUCUGAAGGAGAUACUGUCGGUCCAGACACUAUUUAAUGUUGGCAUCAGCUAGGCCGCUCCCUAAGGUAUAUGUAGGUCGACUGCUUAGGCCUUGAAUUUUUUUGAUUUUCAUUACUCCUA
rnacentral:lncRNA from 1 species